GGCGAAGGAUGCAAGCGUUAUCCGGAUUCAUUGGGUUUAAAGGGAGCGUAGGUGGUCUGCUAAGUCAGUGGUGAAAUCCUAUCGCUUAACGAUAGAAUUGCCAUUGAUACUGGCGGACUUGAGUGUAGUUGCCGUUGGCGGAAUAUGACAUGUAGUGGUGAAAUACAUAGAGAUGUCAUAGAACACCGAUUGCGAAGGCAGCUAACGAAACUAUAACUGACACUGAGGCUCGAAAGUGUGGGGAUCAAACAGG
rnacentral:rRNA from 1 species